UACGUAGGGCGCAAGCGUUGUCCGGAAUCAUUGGGCGUAAAGAGCUCGUAGGCGGCCUGUUGCGUCCGCUGUGAAAUCCCGGGGCUUAACCCGGCGUGCAGUGGAUACGGGCUGGCUGGAGGCAGGCAGGGGAGAACGGAAUUCCCGGUGUGAGCGGUGAAAUGCGCAGAUAUCGGGAGGAACACCGGUGGCGAAGGCGGUUCUCUGGGCCUGUACUGACGCUGAGGAGCGAAAGCGUGGGGAGCGAACAGG
rnacentral:rRNA from 1 species